rnacentral:lncRNA from 1 species
UGUAACCCAAGAUGUCUACCUACUCUAUAUAUACACAAUACACUCAUGGGUCGGGUCGGGUGAUCCGGCCCAAAAUUAAAUAGAUGUGGGCUCAGAUAUCCACGGUCCAGCAGCAUUGAUCAUCAUAGCCCAUUACAGGUAUACCAUGAGUAUACAGUAAAUAUACAAUGAAUAUACAAUGAUUUACAAUGAAUAUGUCACUUAUCCUUGGGCUCAGAUACACAGUCCAGAAUAGGUAAUCAUCAUAGCUCAUUACAAGGUAUACCAUGGGUAUACAGUAAAUAUACAAUGAGUAUACAAUGAAUAUACAAGGCUAUACAAGUCUAUGCAAGUCUAUGUCACGUAUAAUCUCUUAUCUCAACACCCCCCCUCAAGUUGGAGGGGGAGACCACCUGCAACUUGAGCAACAAGGGAUGAAGCACAGUGUCAGGCAAAGGCUUGAAUAAGGCCAUUCUGGAGCUGAUCACAUACAAAGUGACAGUCCACUUCAAUAUGUUUGGUCCGUUCAUGAAAAACAGGAUUCUUAGCUAUGUGAAUAGCAGCGUGGCUGUCACAAUAUACAGAAAAAGGAAGAGAAACAGAAACCCCAAGGUCUUGAAAUAAACGAGACAACCAAGACAAUUCUGCAACAACCUUACUGAGGGCCCUGUAUUCAGCUUUAGCAGAAGAUAAAGAAACCACUGGCUGUUUCUUAGACUUCCAACUAACCAGGCAGCCACCCAGAAUGAUACAGAAUCUAUCACUGGUUGUUUCUUAGACUUCCAACUAACCAGGCAGCCACCCAGAAUGAUACAGAAUCCAGUAACAGAUCUUCGAGUAUCAGGGAAUGCAGCCCAGUCACUAUCAGAAUAACCAAUAACAGAGAAAUCAUUGCAGUCAGAAUAUAAGAGGCCCAUAGAAGGAGUACCUUUAAGGUAUCUAAAUACAUGAAGGGCAGCAGUCAUAUGUGGGAGUCGGGGGCAUUUGAGAAACUGACUCAGAUGUUGCAUAGCAAAACAGAUGUCAGGCCUAGUAUGAGUCAGAAAUAAGAGUUUACCAACAAGACUCCUAAACUGAUCAGGAGAAGGCAAAAGGUCACCAAAAUCAGC